AUACUCUGGUUUCUCCAUAAAUUGAUUAAAUCUUUUGACUUUUACUAACGUUUUUUGUGGAGAGGAACAACCAUGAGUUUUGGUGAAUUUUUUGAUGCCUGGCUGAUGCCAGGCU